UAAGACGAAGGGGGCUAGCGUUGCUCGGAAUUACUGGGCGUAAAGCGCGUGUAGGCGGCUGUUCAAGUUGGGCGUGAAAGCCUUGGGCUUAACCCAAGAAAUGCGCUCAAUACUGGAUAGCUAGAGGACCGGAGAGGAUAGUGGAAUUCCCAGUGUAGUGGUGAAAUACGUAGAGAUUGGGAAGAACACCAGUGGCGAAGGCGGCUAUCUGGACGGUUUCUGACGCUAAGACGCGAAAGCGUGGGGAGCAAACAGGAUUAGAUACCCUGGUAGUCCACGCCGUAAACGAUGGGUGCUAGACGUUGGCGAGCUUGCUCGUCAGUGUCGCAGCUAACGCAUUAAGCACCCCGCCUGGGGAGUACGGCCGCAAGGUUG
rnacentral:rRNA from 1 species